rnacentral:rRNA from 1 species
AAUGGGCGAAAGCCUGACGGAGCAACGCCGCGUGAGGGAUGAAGGCCUCUGGGCUGUAAACCUCUUUUAUCAAGGAAGAAGAUCUGACGGUACUUGAUGAAUAAGCCACGGCUAAUUCCGUGCCAGCAGCCGCGGUAAUACGGGAGUGGCAAGCGUUAUCCGGAAUUAUUGGGCGUAAAGCGUCCGCAGGCGGCCCUUCGAGUCUGCUGUUAAAAAGUGGAGCUUAACUCCAUCAUGGCAGUGGAAACUGUUGGGCUUGAGUGUGGUAGGGGCAGAGGGAAUUCCCGGUGUAGCGGUGAAAUGCGUAGAUAUCGGGAAGAACACCAGUGGCGAAGGCGCUCUGCUGGGCCAUCACUGACGCUCAUGGACGAAAGCCAGGGGAGCGAAAGGGAUU